CUAGAAUUUACCUAAGCCCAGAAGAAUAAAAAGUCACCUGUGUUUUAUUCUGGCUUUAUACUGUUUUCAUUUGUUCUGUUAUAAUUUUUGUAUAAGAAAUCCAGGAAUCUAUUUUGCUUCUGAAGUGGCUGUCCAAUCAGGAUUUACCUUUUACCACUUGGUUGGAGAGGUGGGGGAAGAAGAGACUGGAGGAAAUAGAAGCUGAAGACAGGACUAGAUGUGUCUCCCUCCCCAGCCUCCUUUCUCUGCAGAGGUGGAGGAAUCACGGAAGCUAUCGUGGCUUUAGGUGUUGACUUUUGUCAAUGUUUGCUGAAGCCAGGAGUGAAAUUGAGACAAUAUUCCGAUUCUUGGAACCUGAGUUAGCGUUAAAGGGGAUGACAAACAGGCUGUUGUUAGGAGGUAGUUCCAUGUAAUAGGAAGAGUUUCCACCUCCCUCAGAGGCUGCCUUUCUCGUUUCUCCAAAUGAUUUCGCGGUUGGCCUAAGUUUCCUUUACUUCUCCCUACGAUGGUGUAACAUUAGCUUGAAUGCUGACGCUAUGUGGUGGUGAGCGGCAGUGGGUGUAUCUUGCCCAUAAACCCUUGGAGGACAGUGGAGGACAGGGACUGACCAACUCACCCAAGGGUCCUCUGCAUGCACAUGGUCCCUGCACAUGGCACAUAGUUGGUGCUCAGAAGGCCUUUGCUGGAACAAAGGAAAACACAAGCACCCACAGCAGUGAUGGCUGAUUUUGUCGGGUCUGCAAUGGAGAUUAGUCACCACUAGGUGUCAUGGUGAGUCAAGAAACAUUUUGGCUCAUGGUUACAAAUUAUGCGUUUACUGUAUUCAUCUUCGUGCAUGCACACAUGCAAUGUUUUACAAAGCAUCUGUUGAGUGUCUACGGCACAACACACACGUUCUGGUGCUGGAGAUCCUGCCCUGGCUGAGCUUCUGGACCUGGUGGGGAGAAAUCCACAAUGAGUACUGAGACGACCGGCAAAAGCCCGGUGAAGGCACCUAGGAGUAGGGCCUGCUUACCCUGGAGGAGUCGGGAGCAGCUUCCACAGCAAGGAGGCUUCUAAGAUUUUUUGUUCUUUGUCAGCAUGAGUACCUGGGAUCUUACAUGUAGCCCCUGCAUCAUUUCAGAAAUGAUCUCCAGUGCCCAGGCUCUGAUGCCCAACAGACCUGAAGUUACAUCCCAACCUGAACAGGCG
rnacentral:lncRNA from 1 species